CUGACUACCAAGGAGGAAGGAUAUGUGGUGGAGAUCCUAGUGUAGGAGCUGGAGAUCCUGUUGCCCUAUGGACUGCAGCUUCAGGAGCCUGCAGGAAAGAAGAAAUUUGGGGAAGCAGUACCAUGCAGUAUGAUGACACCCAUGGCCCAAGCUGCCCCUGUGAGCCCAGUGCCACUAUUCCUCUGACCUCACACAGCUUGCACAGAACUUGGUCGACUUGUAUAUCUCCCAGCUUCUGUUAGAGGAGCUCAUGCCGGAUGUGUUCCUGGAGACCUUCGCAGAGUUUAUCAAGGGGUUUUCCGUGCAUGCAGAAAUACACCUGACUUGUAUCUAGCUCUUGCAUUUGAUAGGAUCCGAGGAGCAGGCACUGAAGUCCAGCAAUGGGGGAUCAUCAAAGGGGGAAAAAAUCCAAGCGUCCUUUAAGGGAGUCCACUUCCACUCUGAAGCAUCUUCCUGACUUGUUGCUGGAUGAGCUCUUUGUGGAAGUUCUCAGAUCUCUCAGCUGAUGUCUUCAGAAGUGCCAUGAAGGAUUUUGUGGAUGACUACUUAACCAGGGCUGCCAUUUUUGAAAGCAUGGACGGAAUAGUAACCGAAGUGGUUCAGAUGGUCUUGCCUAUCAUUCUCCGAGAGGCUCUCCGAGAUGGAAUACAAGGCUAUUCUCCAAGAGGUCAUUUCACAGGUCGUUGAGGAGGACACUAAAGCCUUAGCUCACUCAAUCCUCGGUGACUACAACGCCAAGAUGAUAAAUCUGCAGCAAAGCCAGGUACUGUUGAAGCAUGUGUGGCAGCAUGGGUUAUUCCAUGUAAGAAAUUAAUUCGUGUCCUGGUGAGAAACCCACAUGGGCCAUCAGACCUGACAGCAAGUCACCAUCUGGUACAAUUGAAAAGCCAAGUUCAAUAUACAGUACAUCCAGAAUAGUUCAGUAGGAAGAGCUUUUUAAAGGCUGGACAGACUCAGAGUUAUGCAUUCUCUUGAUUAUAAAAUUAAACUAAGAGUACUGGACCAUGAUUAAGAGGCAUCAUCUCAGUCUGGCUUCAUUCAAGUAUUGGAAUAACUCUCUAACAUAGGUUUUGUUAGACAUAAUAGAUAAAACAUGCUCACGCCCCAACACUUUCAAACCUGGGGCCUGAAGUUAAGCUCCCCAACAAAAGUGGCCUGAUUUUUUUCCCCAUAAGUCCCCCCCAAAUGCCUAACAAAGAUAUAGACCCCCCCUCUGUUCAGACACAUAGCAAGGGGGUGCCCGGAAGAGCUUGCAAUUUCAGUGGACAAGAGACAAUUGGGGAAACUGACUCACAAAUUGUGAUUGGCCCUAGGGCCACACAGGGAGGCAGUGGCAGGGCUAGGAGUAGAACUGAGAUCUCCUGACUUGUGGCCCUGUUCUUUGUUUUAAGUCAUGAGAUAAAAUCUCAUGAAACUGAAAUCUUGCAUUUAACAUUACAGCCUCAAUGCUUCAUUAUGCUUGUUCACUGUUGGGUAACAGGCCUCCUCCCAGAGGGAAGGACAGGAAGUAAAAGUUGAGUUCAACACCCUUAUGAACCAUUUAUCCAUCUGGCUGCCCAGUGCAAGUCUCAUCUUGCUCCUCCCAUAAACAUGUGUUGGGUUUACUAGAUGCCAAUCAAAAGCCCCCUGGACCAAAUACACCCUUGGUAAAACUACACUGACUUCCAUGGGGAUGAAUGAGCCAGGGUCUGUAGAUAUCUAUAAUGGAAAAGAGAUUACAGAUCAAUGACUAGCUGACACAAUCCUCUUUAUCACUUCUGUGUUGAUAUCACAGGCAACUCAACCCUCCUGUUCUCCCCUGCCCUGUCCCAUUCCCCACCACAUCUCAUCUGCCUUCACACUUUUCUCUUAUCACCUCUGAACUAAACCCCAUCCUCACCCCCCAAAAAUUGUGGCCCUAACAUGAGUUGCACUGUUACCUGGGUCACUGCAUCACUCAUCUGUUUAAAUUGAAAGCUGUCUGGUACAUCUACCACUCUGCAUUCGUACAGUGCCUAGCACAAUGGGGCUUGAAUCUUAGUUGGUCCUGAGGCACUACUCUAAGCUUGAAUAGUCAUAAGACACUCACACAAGCUUUCUCAGCAAAGCAAUAGUGGGAAGCAUGUGGGGUUUCCUAUUGAUCCCUUCAUUUGCUGUGGGGGCAGAGACCAGCAGAAAGUGACUUUCCUCCCAGUUACACAGAACCCAGGCAGACCGCCCUUAAAGGAAAAACCACCUCACUACUGAGGAGGUGGAAAGGCACAAUGUGAAAAGCUCUUUGGCUGGGCACUAAAGUAGAAACAGGACUUGACGUGCUGAGUCACUGGCAGGUGAGGUAUAGAUUACACCCUGUCAUAUGGCAGGAACCCUGGUGUGUAUUGUCAUGGAUUACCAUGUCUCUGAAUAGACAUCUUACAGUGUACAGGAAGUUUGUUUGGGGAGAUUACGCUGCCCUGUCUGAUAUGCAAAUGCAUAUAGAUGGCUGCAUUACACUAGAGGACAAUAGGAAUGGCUCUUUCUACUCCUUUUCUCUUUCCAAGUAAUUAGAGCUUGAAGGACUGAGCCUGGGCUGAAUGAUGGGCCAUGCAAGUGAGCCACAUUUCUAAGCAGUGAGGAGAUGGGCUCGCUCAGCACAGCAAGUAGAGUGGAACAAACACCCCUUAUUGUGCUCCAAGAGAUUACAGGGAAUAUUUGACUGAAAAAUAUUAAUUGGAAUUGCAGCUUUAAGACAGUGUGCAUGGGGGAGAGGCAUUUUUUCCUGCAGAGAGACUCUUUACCAAAUUAGCCCUUAGAACAGUGAGUGCAGACAUUCUCAUGGUAGCCUAACAGCUUGACCUGCUUAUCAGCCUAAUGUACCUUCUCAUUGCCAGGUCCCUUCCUCUUCCCACAUCUCUCCUGCUGUCCCCCACCUGCCUCCCUGUGGUGCUAUUUCUUUGUAGACACAGGGCUUAGAGGCCCCAGCUGAGAUUCAGGGCCUGUACAACAGUCCCUCCCCUGAAGAUCUAGUGGUUUAAAUAGACCAGAUCAACAAAGGGUGGAGACAGGACAGGCUGCUAUCCCCAUUUUACAGAUGGGGGAACAAAGGCCUGGAGAGAUGAAGUGGCUGAAUCUGUAGCAGAGCUAGGAAUUGAACCCAUAUCACCUGAGUGCCCCUCCACUGAACCACAAGCCUGCCCUUCCAUGUGUUCCCAGGGGUUCUGUCCCCCCUGCCCAGCAAUCUGUUCUGCAGGUCACAUGCCAAGCACAAAACCAGGAGGGUUUUCUGCAGCAGGAGAAGAGCAUGAUGAGACUUCCUCCAGUGAACUCGCCUAAACUGCCCUGGGCAGAGCUAUCUCUGCUUCCAGACUAGAGCCCUCUUCUACAGCACAACUUAUUACAGUAACUGCUAGUAAACAACUUAUUGACACCUUUCUUCUGGAGCACUUGAUCGGAAUGACUAGUACAUAUGACCCUGGAUUUGGAGGGAAGGAGCACUCCAGUGUCGUUUUAGCAAGUUGGAUGUUUGAUAUUCUUGUCAGGCAGUUCUUUAGCAUUCAGGAGCAGCAGCAGACUACCUCUGAAAAUGUUCCGCUGGGAGAUUUCCAUCAAAGCUUUUAUUGAGGUGGCUUUAGAUGUUAUCUUGACAGAACUAAAUAAACUAGCAGAGGAAGACAUGGAAGAUCUCCUGGAAUAUGAAAGGGGAGUACAGGCAGCUGGCUCCAUGUCUUAAGGGCUGCUUUCCACAGAACUAAACAGUAAAUGCACCUGCCUUAACAAAUGGAUAUCAACAGGCAAUGAACAAAUUCAGGCUGGAAGUUAGGUUUCUAACCAUGUGGGAUGGGGGUGGGAGACAAGGUUCUGGAACAGCCUCCCAACAGGAGUUGUGGGGCAAACAACUUAAUUCUCUUGAAGAGACAGAUGGGCACAUUUAUGAAUGCAAUUAGAUGAAGGAACUGCUUGGGGUGCUCAGCGACAGGGCUCAGCAUGUCUGUCUUAUAUUCCUAAAAUUGAGGCUUCAGGUUUCAGUUGGCCAUCAGCAGUGGCAAGGAGGGGAUAUUCCAAUCGCCCUCUCUACCAGUGCAUUGUUUCUCUCCCCUUCCUCUGAAGAUCAGGGCCAUCAAGGGAGAGGGCUAGGGCUGUGAGGUAGCACCAAGCAUUCUCUCAGGUGCUGGAGUGGCUGGUUCUUGCUCACAUGCUCAAGGUCUGAUUGCCACUUGAGGGGGUCAGGAAGAAACUUCCCCUGGUCAAAUUGUUAGUGACCCUGGGGGGUUUCACUUUCUGCAAGGGGUGAGCAGGUCACUGUCCAGGAUUAUCUGGAUCUCUCUCCAUUACUUCCCUGCCUGGGUGGGGACCUUGGCACUAGUGCAUCUCAAUCUCCCCUAUUCUCUGUGUGGCUCAUAAUAGUCUAGUCUCCUCAGGGCUGCAAUACUUCUAAUUCCAGUGCUUUGGUUAAGGGCAGGUACAGGGUGGUCCUCGUGGCCUAUGAUAUAUAGGAGGCCAGCCUAGGUGAGCUAGUGGUCACUUCUGGCCUUUACCUCUACAGCAGUGUUCCCAUGAGAACAAACAUCACCAUCACCUGUUUGCUAUAAACAUGCAUAGCUACACUAGACCUUACUUUGGUAUUUGCAAUAUACUCAUGAAGACAUAGUGCCCAUUAAGCCUUACUUUACCAUGAGGAUCUCUUCUCCCCCAGGAGAGGCAAUACACCCCCUUUCCAAAUUCUCACCUCACCUUUCACUCCCUCCAUAAGACAGCCAAUUCCAGCCCAGCUGUAUUACCUUUACAACCCUUUCCCUUACUGCUGUUUCCCUCACCUCUGUUUUAGGCAUCCAUGCCCUUCCCAACCCCAUCUCCCCAAAGAUCUAAUCCCACUCUGUUCAUCACAGGAGUAACACUUCUCCAGUGUGGUGAGGUUUUCCUGCAACAGCAGGAAAGGGGUGAUGUGGGAUGUGAUCCUGUUUCCAUCAGCUAACAGAAACCCUGCCCUGAUAUCCAGACUAGGCUCUUCUCAACACCCCCAUCCCCUAAGUACAUUGAGAUCUACAGACAACAAGUGCCAUCUAUGAGCUAAUAGUAUCAAAGACAACAGGUAUGAGCCUCACCUUUUAAUACCUGGAUGGCAGGGUGCCCAAUUAACAAACAACUUACAGCAGGGUUAAGUGACUUGGACAAGGUCAAACAGGUCAGUAGUAGAACCACGUGUCCUGUUUACUUCCUCUAGCCACUAACUUAAACACACUCCGUUCCCCUUUUUAGUGAUGUUCCUCCAAAGCCACUCUUACUACUAAAUAGGAAGUUCAGAUCAAAGGAUUACAUGGAAAUUACAGAGGAGAGAAGUGCCCCUGCAGUUUUAAGUUAUAGGAGAGAGCACAUGUAGUGGUUAGAUCUGGGGAUUACAAUAUUUUCCCCCAACUCUGCUACUGACCUUAGAGCUUGUCUACACACAGAGUUAUUCAGGAACACCUGCUACACUUAAUUCACAUCCAACCUUAAUCAAAAUCGACUUUCAAAUGUAGACAAGCCCCUAAGGCUUUGUCCAUGCUGAGCCGGUACAGAUUAGACACAAGCAUUUUUACCACUGUCACCUGGCUAUAAUGUCUUCUUGCAAUAUCUAAGAGAAGUAUAUCCUCUAAAAUGCACAAUGCAAGUAGCUGCAUCAGCCAAAUACUCCACAAAAUAGGGUUGUUUUCUUUCCUCACUUGUGUCAGUACAAAGAAGGUUUAGUCCCUUUAUUAUGCUGCUGUUUUAUGCAUCAGCUAGAUUUCAGCAUGCAAAAUUAAACUAUCAUUGCUAGAAAAGAACCAUAUUACUCAGAGCCCAGCAACUGCUGGCUCCUUCAUCAGAUUGCAUAAGAGGAAUUCACAUGCAGUGAAAAAAGGAUCGCUAAAUAUUACAUGACAGUUCCCUCCUCCUGUUAUGUGCCUUUCUACACUUCACUGAGAUAGCUUAUCCUCCCAGAUUUGUCAACAUGCUGGGGAAAUAGGUUCUGGCAUAAAAUACAAGUUGCCUGCGUUUCCCUCAAUGACAUGGUAUUGCACAGAGGAAGAUACAGAGGCGCUAUUCCCGUGAUCUCCUUUGAAUGAUUUAGGUGUUUGCGUUUCCUAAAAGCAAUUUGGCUUAGGAGCGCUACACUGGAAAUUUUCUUCCUCCAAGGCACUUGUCGUCAUUCCCUCCAGGAGGCUGCUGCAGUAAAAACAUAUUGAGCCAGAUCCUGACCCCCUGUUCUGUUUGCUUUGCACAACUCUGGUAGUGUUAAGCAGACCGAAUGCUGGCUUAAGUGACUCCCUGGUUUAGGAUCAUAGAACUCUCCUGCACUCCAGCAAUCCUCAGGUAGCACAAUAGCCCCGUAGAGGGCUGAUAACAGCCAGUGCAAUUUAGAGCAGCCCUGAGGUUUCUCUACACUGUGCCAAAAUCCUGAACUGGGGAAGGACUUGAAUGGGGUACCUCUCACCUCCACUUUUCCCUCUCAUCUCCACUGAAUGCAAUUUAGCUGCUACAAUCUCAAAGCAUUGGCAAUCCCCAUUUUGCAGAUGGCGGCACAAAGAGAUUAAGUGAGUGGACAAAGGUCACAAAUAGAACACAAACCACCUGCUUUCACCACUAGACCAGGCUUCCUCCUUCAAAGCAUAAGGUAGGCAGUGCCAGAACCUUAGGAGAGUUACCAAGAAUGUAGUUGAUUUCAGCCACCUUCACAGCUGGUGGGUACCUCACUUAAAACAAGACUAAAGCAAGCAAGAAAAUCCUCUUCACAUAUGUUGAGAUUCAGAAGGGCCCACAGUGACUUCUGAGCUUCACAGAGGACAGAACAGUCACAAAAGCACACAUUAGGUGAAUAGAUUCCAAGGCCAGAAUGUACCAUUGUGAUCAUCUAGUCUGACCUUGUGCAUCACCCAGGCCAGAGACCCUCACCCAGCGAUUCAUGCAUUAAGCCCAGUAGCCUGCGGUGGAAUUAGUGCACAUCUUUCAGAAAGACAACGAGAGUCUUAAUUUAAAGACUACAAGUGAUGGAAAAUGUACCGCAUUCCUCGCCCAUCUGUUCUAAUGGUUAGUUACCCUCUCUGUUAAAAUCGUGCAUCUUAUUUCCAGUUUGAUGUUCUUUAACUUGGAAUAAAGAAUAAGCCCUA